rnacentral:rRNA from 1 species
UACGUAGGGCGCGAGCGUUGUCCGGAAUUAUUGGGCGUAAAGAGCUCGUAGGCGGUCUGUCACGUCGGAUGUGAAAGCCCGGGGCUUAACCCCGGGUCUGCAUUCGAUACGGGCAGACUAGAGUGUGGUAGGGGAGAUCGGAAUUCCUGGUGUAGCGGUGAAAUGCGCAGAUAUCAGGAGGAACACCGGUGGCGAAGGCGGAUCUCUGGGCCAUUACUGACGCUGAGGCACGAAGGUCAGGGGAGCAAACGGG